rnacentral:rRNA from 1 species
GAUGAACGCUGGCGGCGUGCCUAAUACAUGCAAGUCGAGCGAACAGACGAGGAGCUUGCUCCUCUGACGUUAGCGGCGGACGGGUGAGUAACACGUGGAUAACCUACCUAUAAGACUGGGAUAACUUCGGGAAACCGGAGCUAAUACCGGAUAAUAUAUUGAACCGCAUGGUUCAAUAGUGAAAGACGGUUUUGCUGUCACUUAUAGAUGGAUCCGCGCCGCAUUAGCUAGUUGGUAAGGUAACGGCUUACCAAGGCAACGAUGCGUAGCCGACCUGAGAGGGUGAUCGGCCACACUGGAACUGAGACACGGUCCAGACUCCUACGGGAGGCAGCAGUAGGGAAUCUUCCGCAAAGGGCGAAAGCCUGACGGAGCAACGCCGCGUGAGUGAUGAAGGUCUUCGGAUCGUAAAACUCUGUUAUUAGGGAAGAACAAAUGUGUAAGUAACUAUGCACGUCUUGACGGUACCUAAUCAGAAAGCCACGGCUAACUACGUU